rnacentral:tRNA from 1 species
GAAUGUGUAGCUCAAUUGGAUAGAGCACUGGUUAGGUCGCCAGAGGUUGACAGUUCGAAUCUGUCCACAUUUA